rnacentral:misc_RNA from 1 species
AAUCAGGCAGGACACAAUUGAUUUUGUCGAACGUAGUGUAUGUGGCCAAGUUAAUUUCUUGGAAGUAUGUACGUGAGACGAGACUUGUAAAACGGUCAACGUAAUGAAUUGCUAGUUCACGCUUAAUGAUUUGGCAACUUCCACGCAUCAAAAGUUUCACACCACUUUACUGGCAAAAUCAAAAAUAUUGUGGCAAAGGAUGUUAAUCAGGAGCGAAUCUGGGGUCUGCCAAGUUGUGAAAUUAUAAAAGGAAAGUUGGCAUCGAAAUAUAAACAUAUUUUAAGAAAAACAUUUUUUUUUUUAAUCUGCAUUACUUUAAAAUAUGAAUGUACCAAAUUUAGCAAAGUGGCCAAGCAAGUGGACUGGGUAAAUUGAACAUACUUCUGAAUUGCCUAGUCAGACAAAUGCACCUCGAAAGAAAUAAAUGGGAAGGUACCUCUAAAAACAGUGUUGCUCGAACAACACAGUUUCUGGGAUCCGCGCAUGAAUUGUCUCUUCAGGAUACCUUGUGGGUAUGGCAGCAUCUCGCACCUGUCGUUCAACACGCGUCAAGCCGCCGAUCGUCAAGCUCCGGGCAUCAUUUCUCUGCUUGGAACCUCAAACAUACGACGGUUCCUCGGAAAAUCAAAGAGAAUACCACGAGGGCGACAAACGUGUGGAGGCAAGCUCCAAGGGCCAGACACCCAAGACAUGGACCAUCAGUAACCAGGGGGAUAAGUAAACCGGUGCAGUAUGAAGAGCCCAGUCCCACAGUCUACCAUCGCUACACCUCAUCGCCAGCAGCGAGCGGUGCUAGGAUGCCCUGCAGUCACGCGCUGCAUUCACCGGCGCGAACCAGUUACUUUGAGAGACCCCAUGGACAGGACGCACCUACUCCUCGUCUGUGGGAGUGGGAAACAACCGGCAGCCCCUGAUGUUUCUGCGGGCAGCUGAGCCA